AUUGAACGCUGGCGGCAGGCCUAAUACAUGCAAGUCGAGCGGAGCGGCGGACGGGUGAGUACUGCCUAGGAAUCUGCCUGGUAGUGGGGGCUAACGUCCGGAAACGGGAGCUAAUACCGCAUACUAUCAGAUGAGCCUAGGUUGGAGUAGAUCGGUGGUGGGGUAAAGGCCUAACAAGGCGACGAUCCGUAACUGGUCUGAGAGGAAGAUCAGUCACACUGGAACUGAGACACGGUCCAGACGCCUACGUGAGGCAGCAGUGGGGAAUAGUGGACAAUGGGCGAAAGCCUGAUCCAGCCAUGCCGCGUGUGUGAAGAAGGUCUUCGGAUUGUAAAGCACUUUAAGUUGGGAGGCGUUACCAACAGAAUAAGCACCGGCUAACUUCGUGCCAGCAGCCGCGGUAAUUC
rnacentral:rRNA from 1 species